rnacentral:rRNA from 1 species
AACGAACGCUGGCGGCAUGCCUAACACAUGCAAGUCGAACGAACCCUUCGGGGUUAGUGGCGCACGGGUGCGUAACGCGUGGGAAUCUGCCCUUGGCUUCGGAAUAACAGUUAGAAAUGACUGCUAAUACCGGAUGAUGUCUUCGGACCAAAGAUUUAUCGGCCAGGGAUGAGCCCGCGUAGGAUUAGGUAGUUGGUGAGGUAAAGGCUCACCAAGCCGACGAUCCUUAGCUGGUCUGAGAGGAUGAUCAGCCACACUGGGACUGAGACACGGCCCAGACUCCUACGGGAGGCAGCAGUGGGGAAUAUUGGACAAUGGGCGCAAGCCUGAUCCAGCAAUGCCGCGUGAGUGAUGAAGGCCUUCGGGUCGUAAAGCUCUUUUACCAGGGAUGAUAAUGACAGUGCCGGGAGAAUAAGCUCCGGCUAACUCCGUGCCAGCCGCCGCAGUAAGAC